AAGGGGAGACCUAAUUCAGGUAAAAGACGAAAAAAAAGUAGUCGCUACCAAGAAUCAAUCCCAAAAGGUCGGAGCGAGGCGAAAUUGGCUUUCAAACUAGGUUCUGGGUUCAAACAAGACCUGAAUCAGGAACAAGGGCUAUUAGCUCAGGUGGUUAGAGCGCACCCCUGAUAAGGGUGAGGUCCCUGGUUCGAGUCCAGGAUGGCCCACCUGCACAGGUGGCAAAAACAAGAGAAGCGAGGAAUCAGCACCUUAUCUUACUUAUAUAGUAAGAGAGAAUGCUGGCUCUGAGUAAAGAGUCCAGAGGAACCUUGAAAACUGCAUAGAGCUAGGUGAAAAAGCCAAAAAAGAAGACCGCAAG
rnacentral:tRNA from 1 species